CUAACCUAUUCAUUCGUGUUCUUUCCUUAAAACCCUAUUCUUUUCUUCGAAACUUUAGCCGUCAAACACUUUAAGACCAUCUGAGACAUAUCGCUCACCACUUCUUUCAUUCGUUAGAUUUCCGCUAUAAUCUGAAAACUUCUUCGACGAUUCAUCAUUAUUCAUCGUUCCCUCAAAUCCCUACGUGUUAUAAUCGUUAACGACCCGUCGACUGUUCGUACUUCAGAGGCGAACCAGAGUUAGGUGCUUGUCAGGAUCACGUGGAUUUAGCAAGCAGUUUAUGAUUUGAGCUUUGGUCGAUCUCCGUUUCUUCAUUCUCGGAGGUUUUUAUUUUAUUUUCAGAAUAAAAGAGUCGAACUGUUUUAAACUCUUAGACCGCAGUAGUAGUAUCAG